rnacentral:rRNA from 1 species
AGGCGGUUGCUUAGGUCUGAUGUGAAAGCCUUCGGCUUAACCGAAGAAGUGCAUCGGAAACCGGGCGACUUGAGUGCAGAAGAGGACAGUGGAACUCCAUGUGUAGCGGUGGAAUGCGUAGAUAUAUGGAAGAACACCAGUGGCGAAGGCGGCUGUCUGGUCUGCAACUGACACUGAGGCUCGAAAGCAUGGGUAGCGAACAGGAUUAGAUACCCUGGUAGUCCAUGCCGUAAACGAUGAGUGCUAGGUGUUGGAGGGUUUCCGCCCUUCAGUGCCGGAGCUAACGCAUUAAGCACUCCGCCUGGGGAGUACGACCGCAAGGUUGAAACUCAAAGGAAUUGACAGGGGCCCGCACAAGCGGUGGAGCAUGUGGUUUAAUUCGAAGCUACGCGAAGAACCUUACCAGGUCUUGACAUCUUGCGCUAACCUUAGAGAUAAGGCGUUCCCUUCGGGGACGCAAUGACAGGUGGUGCAUGGUCGUCGUCAGCUCGUGUCGUGAGAUGUUGGGUUAAGUCCCGCAACGAGCGCAACCCUUGUUACUAGUUGCCAGCAUUAAGGUGGGCACUCUGGAGAGACUGCCAGGGAUAACCUGGAGGAAGGUGGGGAUGACGUCAAAUCAUCAUGCCCCUUAUGACCAGGGCUACACACGUGCUACAAUGGCGUAAACAAAGGGAAGCAGAGCCGCGAGGCCGAGCAAAUCCCAAAAAUAACGUCUCAGUUCGGAUUGUAGUCUGCAACUCGACUACAUGAAGCUGGAAU